GCCUGAAGUGCAGCUGUCUCUCUGAGGCACCUGCCGCUUACUCAGAAUGCGAUCCGAGAGCAGCCCGGGACAGGUCCGCUUUCACAACUGCUUGAGUGAAAUCCAGAGCAUGACUCACUCACAGCAAUCAUGAAAGAGAGAGAGAUGGUCUCAAGAAAAAAGUUUUGAAAGCAGAGAUCUGGCGAGGCCUCCACGCUGGCGGACCUCAGGAUAUUCUUUAUGUGGAAACUUGACAAAUUUCAAGGAUUAGAGAAUUCUGGGUGUGAUUUGUCUGCAGCCUUCCUGGGCCAGAGUUCAAAACAUGUGCUCUUUUCUUGCCAUCCCCACCCUGACCUGGGCAGCUCCUACUCAUCCUUCGGUGCUCAUUGUUCUUUGAGGACUUCCCUGCCAUGCGUUCCUGACACCCCUUCACGACUGCCUUGGAAUUGACCGUGGUUUGCUCAGCGUCUGUCUUCAGCACAGUAUUAUCUAAGAACCCCAUGGCAGAAAGAGAAGACAAAUACCAUAUGAUAUCACUUAUACGCGGGAUCUGAAACAUAGCACAAAUGAUCCUACCUAUAAAACAGAAAGAGAUCACGGACAUGGAGAGCAGACCUGUGUUUGCUAAGGGGCGGGAGGAGGGAGCGGGAAGCAUAGGGAGUUCGGGGUUGGUAGAUGCAAACUCUUACAUUGAGAAUGGAUAAAUAAUGGGGUCUUACUGUACAGCAAGAGACUGUGUCUGGUAUUGCCUGGCUUAGGAGGCAUUCAAUAAAUGCAUCUGAAUAAAUAAUAAUAUUAAAUGUACAAUAAGCCAAAGCAAUCCUGAGAGAGAAAAACAGAGCUGAAGGAAUCAAGUUUCCUGACUUCAGACUAUACUAUAAAAUUAUAGGAGUUCCUGUCAUGGUUCUGUGGUUAACGAAUCUGACUAGGAACCAUGAGGUUGCGGUUCGAUCCCUGGCCUUGCUCAGUGGGUUAAGGAUCUGGCGUUGCUGUGAGCUGUGGUGUAAGUCAAAGAUGUGGCUUGGAUCCCGAGUUGCUGUGCUCUGGUAUGGCUGGCGGCUACAGCUCCAUUAGACCCUGCCUGGAACCUACAUAUGCCAUGGGUGCAGCCCUAGGAAAGGCAAAAAGACAAAAAAAACCCCACAAAACUAUAGUCGUCAUCUCCAUUAACGUAUCUGACUAGCAUCCAUAAAGACACAGGUUUGAUCCCUGGCCUCUCUCAGUGGAUUAAGGAUCCAGAGUUGCCGUGAGCUGUGGUGUAGGUCACAGAUGUGGCUUGGAUCUGACCUUGCUAUGGCUGUGCUGUAGGCCAGCAGUUACAGCUCCGAUUUGACCCCUAGCCUGGGAACCUUCAUAUGCCAUGGAUGCAGCCUUAAAAAGAAAGAAAAUGAACAUAUAUUUGAAGAUGGCCCUUUAAUAGUUAUGUGAAAAGAACUAGUAAUAUAAUUACCUUGUCUGUUGAUUUAUAGAGGGACUUAUCCAUAAAAAUGUUUAAUUGUCAAUUUAUUUGAAAAACUGUUGAGAUAUUAAUAUGUAACUGUAAGUUUCUUUAACUGGUAUGUAUUUCAACAGCUCUGCUCUCUGAUUACUGAGUAAGAAGAAAAGAAGUUUAAUAGUAGUUCUUUCCUCUCUGUAACAUUUUGAUUCAAAUAAAAUAAUCUGUUCAAAACAAAAAAAGGAUUAAAGAUAAAAUAAAAAGCCCUUUUAAACAUUAUAAAACUCAGAAUUUCCUGAAUAAAACUGUCCACAGAAUUCUAUUCUCAUUUAGGCCACCAAGUGUGUGCACCUCAAAAUUCUCAGGGGAAAAGACGAAUCCAGAGCAAGUCUCUCAUUUUAUGGAAGAUUCUGAGGCCCAGAGAGGUGAAAAGAAUGAUCCAAAGUCAUGGAGCAUGUGAGUUCUGGAAAGAGUGCAGUUCAUCCUCAGAAAACUAUUUUUAACACUACCUGCAGGGGUUUUAAAGCUAAGAAAUAACCAUGGAAAUUAGAAACCCUAAUUAAGAGGGAAGAGGCAGGCAAGGAAGAUGAGAAGCCGGCUUCUCAUUACUCACACUGAAAUAAAAUUGAUAAAAGAGUUAAAUGAAAAAUAAGAGCAAACCUAGAAGAAAACAGAGGCGAAUAUUUACCUGAAUUAUCAACAGGAAGAACUUUUAACAAACAAU
rnacentral:lncRNA from 9 species